rnacentral:rRNA from 1 species
GACGAACGCUGGCGGCGUGCUUAACACAUGCAAGUCGAACGGAAAGGCCCUGCUUGCCGGGUGCUCGAGUGGCGAACGGGUGAGUAACACGUGGGUGAUCUGCCCCUUACUUUGGGAUAAGCCUGGUAAACUGGGUCUAAUACUGGAUAGGACCAUGCUGUAGGUGGUGUGGUGGAAAGAUUAGUUUCGGUAAGGGAUGAGCUCGCGGCCUAUCAGCUUGUUGGUGGGGUAAUGGCCUACCAAGGCGUCGACGGGUAGCCGGCCUGAGAGGGUGGACGGCAACAUUGGGACUGAGAUACGGCCCAGACGCAUACGGGAGGCAGCAGUGGGGAAUAGUGCAAAAUGGGCGCAAGCCUGAUGCAGCGACGCCGCGUGGGGGAUGACGGCCUUCGGGUUGUAAACUCCUUUCAGCCAUGACGAAGCCCUUGUGGUGACGGUAGUGGUAGAAGAAGCACCGGCUAACUACGUG